UGUUAAAAGUUUACUCAUUUAUACUGUUAAAAGUUAAUGUGAUUGAUGGAAUAACCAUACAGUAACAUGUGACAUGCCACGUGUACCUCAUACUUGAUUUACAUGGAUAAACUUUUAAUAAUAGAAAUGGAUGAAAUUUUUAAUA
rfam:Gossypium hirsutum cultivar TM-1 chromosome 6, whole genome shotgun sequence